UGGGUCUGAAAUGGUUUAUUCUUGUUUUGUAAUCUAUGAUUAGCUUCAGGAACCACUUUGUUGGAUGUUGCUGAAUUGCUAUAACUAGCGAAUGGAUGUUUCUGUAGUUAGAAUUACUACUUUGAAUGUUGGUUUGAUAUUGUAUUAACUGAGAACUGUUCUGAUGUUGCAUAUGAUGUUUGUAUAGGAGUUUCCGUUAAAUGUUUAGGGGCUAUUUUCUGUGACACCGUAGCAGGAUUGAUUUGCAGCAAAACCAACCAACAUGGGGAAAAAGAAAUUGUUAGAGUCCCGAUGCUCACCCAGCUACAUUCAUAACAUGAUGAGAACGCUAUCUAAUAAUAACUCCGUUGAGAAGCUUGCGGAGAUUGAUGAGAUUGGAUUCAGAUUCUUGCGGCGUGUUCCAAAUUGGUCUGUAAAGCAAGCAAUCAUGGUUCAUCUGGCUGAGUCGUAUCAAGUAAAGCAGAGAACUUUUGUACUCGACAUAGGCAACAUUCGCCUCAAUGCCGAGCUAAUCGGGAAGGUCUUCGGCCUUCCGUCUCAAGGGGAUCCAUUUCCAGCUCUCGAUGAGAGUAAUCCGUCCCACGUGGCCAUUCAAAAAAGGUUCCAUAGACGGACAACAACCGAGCUUCGGGAUUUAGUUUACAGUUGUCCAAUGGCCACAGAAUCAGAUAGGAUGGAGUUCAGGAGGUACUUUCUACUGGUGGUGAUGAAAAUGUUCCUGUGCCCCACCACUCAACAGGUUCUCUCUCCAUGGCACAUCUACGCAGUGUUAGAUGUUUCUGAUCCGAGGAGAUUCAACUAGCCGUUGGAAACUAUGAAGUGGUUUGACAAGGCAGUCGAAAAGUAUAAGCUGAAAGGGAACAAAACGUGUGAAGGCUGCAUGUUCGUCAUGCUGAUCCUCUAUUUUCAGCGGUUGCAAUACGGUCUGCUCGAAAAUUGUCUUGAGCCUGAGCCAUGGCUCGAUGCGUGGAGCUCGGAGAGGCUAGAAAAAAAGGCGCAGUAUAUUAUAUCCGAGGGACGUCUUUUGACUAGACAGGGUGUAGCUGAGGACAUAAAGGAUCGUUCACCGCAAGCUGCAAGGAGGAAAACGGGAAAAAAGGCACCACAGAAGCAUGGGUGAAAGGAUUCGGUGCCGCCGAGGGGGAGCUCAGUUUGUGGAGAGAGAAGGCAGGUGUCAUAGGAAAGACGACCAAGUGGACGCACAACAGCUCCACCUCCUACUAGAAGCACUUCAUGCCAUAUGGACGGAUAAAAAACUAGCCCGAGAGUGAGUAUAUUGAAUAGCAUUGCAUAAGUUAAUUAGGUUCUUUUCAUUGUAAUUGGAUGUUUCUUUACCCAACAUAAUCAUUAUACAUAAAACAACAUAGCAAGAGUGGUGCGCAAAAAAAUAGAGGGGCUAAGAAGGACCGAUCACGUAGGUCCAGCCCAAAGCAAUCUGAGGAAAAGGAACUCCCAAUUAGCACAGAUGAUGAUGAGGAGAAUGAGCCUCUGGCCAAGAGGAUGUGCCGACUUUAUAACCAGAGGGUUGACCAAUAAAAACCAAGUGCUGAUCCGCAUGAAGGGAACCUCAAUAAGGAUAACGCUGCCCAAGCAACACCUGUCUGUAGCUUGCCCGAUGCAGGAACACUCUCCGUUAGGUCGGUGAAACAUGAAGAAUGGGAGUUUGACGGGCAAGUCUCCUAUGCAAAACUAUUUCAUUCUGUGGUCUAUUUUACUUUUUAAUGAAUUAGGGAUUGCAUCCGUAUACAACUACUUUUUCUCUAACAUAGGUUGAGUUAUUUGCAGUAAUCCCGAUUUCCUUUCGAACCGAGACCCCGAGAGUGAACAAAUAUGGCAAUACCUUGAGCAACUGCAGAACACGAGGCCACUGCAGAUCGUGAUGACAGCCUCUCCGUCUUGCAAGACUCCUAGCCCACCAAGCAAGAAGAUUUCACCGGGCAUGACUCAGACGGAACAGAUGCUCACCCAAUGUACCCCUAUAAAGGUUCAUCCACUGCUAAAAGGGCGAAAGCUGGACGAGGAUGAUGAGGAGCGAUUGCGGCGAUGGGCUGCCAAUCGUUCGUCGGAGCAGAAUCAGGUUGUGGCGGCAUACGAAGGAAAGCAACAUCUAUCAUUACUCCGAGAGGACAUCUGCUCAUUGCUACCCCGGCACUAGGUCACCAGCAACAUCGUUCAUUGGAUGUGUUCAACCUUUAAUGACUCAGAAUUGUUGCGGUUUAAGAAUGACUAUUACUGUAUUCCUCUGAGAAUUUUGGAAAUUGUGUUGCACAAGAGGAACUUGGAUUCCUUCAGGGAGGUUCCUACUGUUAGCUAUGUAGGGCUGGGUCCUCACUUCGGUGAUGAUUCUAUAUUUUUUGACAAGAUAGCAGCUUCCAUGCGAAGAUGGUGGUUUGCCCCAGUCUGUAUCGAUCGUCACUGGUGGUUGUAUGUCUUUGAGAUAUAUCAGAAAAGGCUGUGGGUACUGGAUAGUAUGUAUACAGGAGAACCUAAUAAUGAAAGAUUAAAAAUACAUGCUUAUGCAGGGAGACUCAUUGAAGACAUGGCGAAGGUUACUAUUCCCACAUAUGAGCACACGGAGGACGGUCUACCUCGUUUCUAUCCUACCGUACCAAGACAAGAUAAUGGCUCGGAUUGUGGUGUAUUCGUCAUCAAGUUCAUGCAGUUUUGGGGUUUAGAUAAACCCUUGCAGCCUUGGGACAAGGUGAAGUUAGAUAUAUUAUAACAGUUAAUUUGAACCUCUUUCUAGUAAGUUUCUUUCACGGAUUUAAAAUUACCCUUCCACACAAAAUUGUCAUGCAGGACAUUGUACAGGAGUUUAGGAAUGAGAUCAUACUAGACAUAGUCUUGGUCCUCAUAAUUCACAAAUUGAGAUGGCGCUGCAAGCAUUGGACAGCGCUCCUGUGCGCCGCAACCAGCCUAGGAAAAAGACAAAGGCUGUGAAAUCACCCUUCACAGCACCAAUCACGAGGAGCAUGCUGUAGCGUGUAGGCUUACCCACUAGAAAGCCAGCCAAGGGAGGGAGACAACGGAAGAAGACAGAUGCAUAGGUUCAGGUUUUCAUGUUGCGGAAUUUGUCAAGUUGAUGGUGACAAUCAAGACAACUCCUCUGCAUGGAUGGUGCUCAUGCUAGGCACUAGGAUGUUUCUUUCCUUUGUAAAUUGGAUGGUUCUGAAUAUAUUUUUUGAUCUAUCAUAUUUUAGGAAUUUGAACUUGUAUAUACUUAAUUGAGAAGUGAAUUGCUCGUGUUUUGUUAGAUACUCCUUAGCAAGUUUCGUAUGUUAGGUAUUUCAGGAUUCUCAAGAACUUAGUUUUAACCAGGAUUUUAAUUGGAUGUUGCUACUGAUAGGCACACGGAUGUUACUUUUCCUUGUAAGUUGGAUGAUUCUGAAUCUGCUUCAUCA